AUGGGUGGUGAAGUAUGCAGGGGCCAGAUUACUGUGACUCAUACUCCAGCAGUGAAAGCUGCUCUUGUGGGACAAACCAUCACACUCAACUGCAGGACCAGCAGCCCCAACUGGAGUGAUAAUUUCUCCUGGUACCUCCAGAAACCUGGAGAAGCUCCUAAACUGUUCAUGUAUCGCAUAAGCACCCGCUCUGGAUCAACUCCCAGUCGCUUUGUUGGUGGAGGCUCCAAUGGUGGCAGUGACUUCACCCUGACCAUCAGUAAUGUCCAGGCUGAGGAUGCAGGAGUUUACUACUGUCAGAGUGAACACUAUAUCAACUAUAAAUAUGUGUUCACACAGUGA